CCAAUGUGUAUCUUUAAUAGGAAUCAUGUAUAUCUUACUUUCUCAAAAUUUCUAUCCAGUUAUUUAGAUAAUUUUGUUAUUUGAGGUGCUUACUUUUUUGGAUUCUUUUCUAAGAAGUAUUUUGCUAUCUGCCUUUUCUUUAAAUAAGAGCCAUACCACGUCAGGUAAAAUUAACCUUGGCCUGUUAACAGAAAUAUUAGACAAUGUUUGGUCUUUAGAUGUUUAAAUAUAUUUAUAUCUGUAACAUUCUUGAGAGGGAGGUCACCAUUGUGUGGAAUAUCAGCUCUGAUAAUACUUGGCUUGAACCUUGAGCAAUCCAACCAACCUUGGAUCUUCUUUGGCUCCAGAUCAUCUACAAAUGUUAAGGUUUUUUCCUAUGUCAAUAAAGAAUAUAUACACACAUAUAUGAGUUUGAUUUUGCUUUUAAAUUGAAUGUUGAGCUAACAUAAAAUAAGAUUUAUAAGGUAUGUGUAAGGUAUAAAGUAUCAUAGUACAAUGAAAUCUAUGUAGCCACUGCCCAGUUUAAGUAAAAUAAUAUACCUUUAAGAUCC
rnacentral:lncRNA from 1 species